GAGUUUGAUUAUGGCUCAGAGUGAACGCUGGCGGCGUGCCUAAUACAUGCAAGUCGAACGGUAACAGGAAGUAGCUUGCUACUUUGCUGACGAGUGGCGCACGGGUGAGUAAUGCAUAGGUUAUGUGCCCCAUAGUCUGGAAUAGCCACUGGAAACGGUGAUUAAUACCGGAUACUCCCGAGAGGGGAAAGUUUUUCGCUAUGGGAUCAGCCUAUGUCCUAUCAGCUUGUUGGUGAGGUAAUGGCUCACCAAGGCUAUGACGGGUAUCCGGCCUGAGAGGGUGAACGGACACACUGGAACUGAGACACGGUCCAGACUCCUACGGGAGGCAGCAGUAGGGAAUAUUGCUCAAUGGGCGAAAGCCUGAAGCAGCAACGCCGCGUGGAGGAUGAAGGUCUUCGGAUUGUAAACUCCUUUUCUAAGAGAAGAUUAUGACGNAUCUAGGAAUAAGCCCCGGCA
rnacentral:rRNA from 1 species